rnacentral:lncRNA from 1 species
AGGAUUUCAAAUGAUUUCCGUACGCUAUUUUGAAACAAUGAGAACAGAAUUAUCUAUGAACCAUCUCUGCUUUGAAAGCCACCAGGAGGCCUGGCCUUCCCAGGAGAGCACCAAUAGCAGCAAAGCACUUGGCUACCUCUUUUUCCUUCACAGCUUGGAUUAAUGCCCAAUUUUCAAACAAGAAGGUUGUGGUGUGCCCAACUGACACAGGCAACAGGAGCACUGCAAGAUAAAUUUACAUUUCAUAGUGUGAAACAAACCAUCCCACAAAGAUACGAUAAAUCAUCAGAGGAACAACGAGGUGCCAUGACACAUGCAUAUGUUUUUCAAGUCACAUGAAAUGAAGUUAUGAGGCAUACAACCCAAUCUCCAUCUCAAAGACCACCUAAAGUGUGCAGAGCUACACUGGGGAGACUUGAUCAGAUGCAGUCAUUUGAUACAGCAAAGACAUCCU